rnacentral:pre_miRNA from 1 species
GCUAAGAAGAGGGAGAAAGAUAGGUCCUUAGAGCAUUGGGAAUGAUAACAUAGGGGAAAGCCUAACUUGUUGGUUCUUCACCUCAUGUGUUGAGGUGGAAAUCCAGUUUGGUAUUUCCUCAUGCCUCUCAUCCCUUUUGUUCUUAAGCGCUCCUUCCUCUUUCUUUUUGCU